rnacentral:miRNA from 1 species
ACAUGCGUAAGAGAUUAUAUGU